CGGCUAAAAUUCGGAUUGGUCUUGGCUCUCGGUGUGAGUGAAAUGUGACUGGUCCGUGCCCCGAGCUUUCCAACCAGCUGCUCACUCCUUCAGUCUUUCGGGUCUCAGCUCGCGUGUUUGCUACAGGAGCAGGAGGUGUCUGUGUGAGUGUUUGUCUGCUUUCAACGGGCAAGGUCAAUCCAGUUGAAAAGACCUUUGUUAAACCCACUUGCACUAUUUUACAGAUUUAAAUCGCAUAACUUGUAACGACAUACUGGGGAGUAGAUACUUGUUCCCUAAUAUUUUUGAGAGCUGCGUCCUGUGCAUGUGCGCGCGUGCGCGCCUGUGUGUAAUUGCCAUGACGAGACAAGAUGUUGAGGAGUCGGCGGUGCGUGCCGUCAGAGCGCUUGAACACUUCACAGACGGCCCGCAGAGAA